UACGGCGGGUGCGCGCGUUAAUCGGAAUUACUGGGCGUAAAGCGCGCGUAGGCGGUUUGUUAAGUCCGCUGUGAAAGCCCCGGGCUCAACCUGGGAACUGCAGUUGAUACUGUCCGACUAGAGUACGAGAGAGGGAGGUAGAAUUCCAUGUGUAGCGGUGAAAUGCGUAGAUAUAUGGAGGAAUACCAGUGGCGAAGGCGGCCUCCUGGCUCGAUACUGACGCUGAGGUGCGAAAGCGUGGGGAUCAAACAGG
rnacentral:rRNA from 1 species